GAUCAUUAAAAGAUACAUGGCUAUGCAUCAAGCAAGCAUUGUACAAAACCCACUCUGAGUACCUCAGCCUGUUGCUUCCGUGGGGCCCGGCUCCGGUCGCUCUGGGGAUGAAUAUAUCCCGAGGGAGUCCCCACGGGAGGUAACCUCAUAACAUCUUGCACUCUGAUGCCCUCUGUCUGAUGAUGUUUAUAGCAAACGUUAAAACUUUCAACAACGGAUCUCUUGGUUCUCGCAUCGAUGAAGAACGCAGCGAAAUGCGAUAAGUAGUGUGAAUUGCAGAAUUCAGUGAAUCAUCGAAUCUUUGAACGCACAUUGCGCCUCCUGGCAUUCCGGGAGGCAUGCCUGUUCGAGCGUCAUUAAAAACCACUCAAGCAUCUAUGCUUGGUCUUGGAUGCUGAGGGUGGCAAUGCCCUCACCUCCGAAUUGCAAUGGCGGAUUUCCUCAUGAGUCCCGGCGUAGUAAGUUCAUCUUUUCGCCUUGUCCUGUGAGAUGUCCUGCCACAAACCCCCAAUCAUUCCAGGUUGACCUCGGAUCAGGUAGGGAUACCCGCUGAACUUAAGCAUAUCAAUAAGCGGAGGAAAAGAAACCAACAGGGAUUGCCUCAGUAACUGCGAGUGAAGCGGCACAAGCUCAAAUUUGAAAUCUGGCGUCUUUGGCGUCCGAGUUGUAAUUUGGAGAGGCAUCUUCGGAGAUGGCGCCGUCCUAAGUUCCUUGGAACAGGACGUCACAGAGGGUGAGAAUCCCGUGCCUGGAUGGUAGCCCGUCUCCAUGUGAAGUGUCUUCGACGAGUCGAGUUGUUUGGGAAUGCAGCUCAAAAUGGGUGGUAAAUUUCAUCUAAAGCUAAAUACUGGCGAGAGACCGAUAGCGCACAAGUAGAGUGAUCGAAAGAUGAAAAGCACUUUGAAAAGAGAGUUAAAAAGUACGUGAAAUUGUUGAAAGGGAAGCGCUUGAGACCAGACUCGAUCCUUGGUGAUCAGCCACGCUUCUGCGUGGUGCACUUGCCAUUGAUUGGGCCAGCAUCGGUUCCGGCGGUGGGAUAAAAGGCAAAGGAAUGUAGCUUCCCUCGGGGAGUGUUAUAGCCUCAGUCACAAUGCCAUCAGUGGGGACCGAGGACCGCGCU
rnacentral:rRNA from 1 species